rnacentral:rRNA from 1 species
UAUAAAUGUAAAUUUUUCAUAGGUCAGGGUAGUAAUAGUUAUGUUCUUGAAACCCAAAGAAUUUGGCGGUAUUUUAGUCCUUUCAGAGGAAUCUGUCCCGUAAUCGACAACCCACGAGAUAACGUACUUAUUUUUGUUUUCAGUUUGUAUACCUCCGUCAUAAGAGGAUCUUUUUAGAGUUCAAUUUUCUUAAUAUAAGAAAUAUAUUAUGUCAGGUCAAGGUGCAAUUUAUAGAUAAGUGGAGAUGGAUUACAAUAAAUAUAUUUAAACGGAGUAAAUUAUUUAAUUUUUUAUGAAGGUGGAUUUGAUAGUAAUUUUAAUUAUUUAUUAUUAUGAUUUUGGCUCUAAAAUAUGC